rnacentral:rRNA from 1 species
AACGAACGCUGGCGACAUGCCUAACACAUGCAAGUCGAACGAGACCUUCGGGUCUAGUGGCGCACGGGUGCGUAACGCGUGGGAACCUGCCUUUAGGUUCGGAAUAACUCCCCGGAAGGGGUGCUAAUACCGGAUAAUGUCUUCGGACCAAAGAUUUAUCGCCUUUAGAUGGGCCCGCGUAGGAUUAGCUAGUUGGUGGGGUAAAGGCCUACCAAGGCGACGAUCCUUAGCUGGUCUGAGAGGAUGAUCAGCCACACUGGGACUGAGACACGGCCCAGACUCCUACGGGAGGCAGCAGUGGGGAAUAUUGGACAAUGGGCGAAAGCCUGAUCCAGCCAUGCCGCGUGAGUGAUGAAGGCCUUAGGGUUGUAAAGCUCUUUUACCAGGGAUGAUAAUGACAGUACCUGGAGAAUAAGCUCCGGCUAACUCCGUGCCAGCAGCCGCAGUAACAC